GUGAUUGUAGCUCAGUUGGUUAGAGCGUCGGAUUGUGGUUCCGAAGGUCGGGGGUUCGAGACCCCUCAUUCACCCUA
rnacentral:tRNA from 9 species